UUCCGAGGAGCUGGCGUCCGUACAAGGAAAAAGCAAUAAGUCUGAGCAUGAAGUGAAUCCAUAGUUACAAUAUUCUACUUUGGGAAGUGUUGUGAAUGACACAGUGACACCUUGUGUGUUUACCAUCAACGAUGCAAUCCGAUCCUCCACAAUGUCAGAGGAGCUGCACUACAGUUUUCACACCCUUAGUGGGUUCUUUGCAGUUGUAGUAGUUUUUCUAACCGAGGACUGACUAGCUGAUCAAGCAGCCAAGGCUGAAGCCCAGGGAUUCCCCAUGGUUGACACAGCACUGGUGAAAGAGAUCACAUCCGCGUGGUGGACCAAGUCUUCCUCAAAGUGCUGAGACGACCUCGCUGGGACAAUGAACGCUGGGACGGCCCCCACCAGGUGAUAGCAGUGACACCUACGGCUGUAAAGGUCAAGGGACGUGACGGCUGGAUCCACCAGUCGCAGUGCAAGCCCCUUCAAUUCCCUGCUGACGGGCCUAGUGACGCCAGUCCCUCGGGGUAGGAUCUCCACGACGUACACACCAGUGUACCGACGAAAGACCACAGUUGGAGAGACGGUCUUCCGUGGCAAACACACCCCUCUCGAGAAGAUGGAGCAGACCACCGGCCAGAGGCUGACUGCAGUCCUGUCAACCAUAUAUGCUGUUUACUUUCUUGCAGGGCUGUGCCUGAUGGCAGUUGGUGCACAACCUCGCGGCAAGGAAAGCACCAACAAGGAACGGUUGCCCAGCCGUAGACUGUCUACGUCCAUCCUGGGAAACCUACGGCUGCUGAUGGACAGAACGGGGACGAUGAUUAAUGUAACUUCCCUUUCCCAAGAACUUUCCAUCACCAUCCUGCUGGACCAAUUGCCGUCCCGCCAGACAAGGUUCAGCAAGAUCUCAGCGGUUCCUGACUAUCCGGGUGCAAAUUUAGAAGAGCAAUAUGCUGAAGUAACUAAAAUGAGUCAUUGGCAAGAUUAUUGGUUUUAUCUAAUGAGUGCCCAUGAUGCAAAUUAUAAAAAAUGAUUGUCCUGGUGGAAUUAUAUGACUUCUGUCUAUGGUGAUUAUUGGUCAAAUCCACAUAGCAAUCAGGGAGCGUAAAAUUGGCACGGCAAACUAUCAAAGUGACAAGGUCUGAUGUACCCACCAUAACAUUUGUAUUACAGCCAAUGUCGUCCCUACCAAAUAAAGACAGAGAACUGUACUAUGCUUACGCUAUGGGAAUGGUACGGAGGAGGGGGCCAUUCGCGUGUCCCAAUUAAAUUGUGCUAUAAUUGGCAGCCACCCGUCCAAAAGAGAUUUGAGUAAUGCUAAUUUAAAGCCUCCAAUUACACAAAACACCCCAGUUUAUUUUGAUGUAAUUGGCCAACCUCGGAACAUCCCAGACAAAGAUAAAUUGUUAGAUGAAACGAAACCAGCAUUCACACAGCUGCCUUUCAUCUUCUUCUUCUUCUUCUUCUUCUUUUCCUUUCGGCUUGUCCCGUUAGGGGUCGCCACAGUGUGUCAUCUUUUGCCAUCUUAGCCUAUCUCCUGCAUCUUCCUCUCUAACCCCAACUGCCCUCAUGUCUUCCCUCACCACAUCCAUAAACCUUCUCUUUGGUCUUCCUCUCGCUCUUUUGCCUGGGAGCUCCAUCCUCAGCAUCCUUCUACCAAUAUACUCACUCUCUCGCCUCUGAACAUGUCCAAACCAUCGAAGUCUGCUCUCUCGAAUCUUGUCUC